rfam:Cyberlindnera fabianii strain 65 BON22_Sc01, whole genome shotgun sequence.
GGUAACCUGGCCGAGUGGUCUAAGGCGCCAGGUUAAGGUCCUGGUCUCUUCGGAGGCGUGAGUUCGAACCUCACGGUUAUCA